UAUUGCAAUUAUGCUGAAGUAUAUAUGCCCGAUGUUUUAUAUAGCUGUAUUUUGUUGUUUGAUAAUGUGGUUUUGCCAUCUUAUGCACCUUUUUGUUUCUUUUCCCUGUAAUUUUGCACUUCUGUUGUUUGACUUGAAGCUGAUUCUGCAAUUUUUAGCUCUUCACUGUCGAAUGAUAGGUAGUUCACACUCAUUUGUAUUUAGUCAUUUUGAAGAGUGAAUUUGAGGGUACCAUCAACAGCCUGCUUUUGUCUUGGGCUUUUGCAAAGAGCUUGGAUAGACGCUGCCAGCUGUUGUUGAUGGCUAGAAGUAGAGGGUCCACUUUGGGUACAGAGUGCUGACGACAGUCCUUGCAUCGGCAUAGAAGACUGGUGAACUAGAAUCUUGGGCCUAGAUAUCACCAAUGUGGAGUGGGCAGUGGUGCGUCCAGAGAUGAAGAACUAAGAAUCAGCAUAUCAACCAUGGCUUGAAUUCUGUAGUUCCAGUAAAAAUAUUGGUUCAGAAUCAGCUUGUAACUCUUGCUAAUGUGUUUAGCCCAGGCAUAAUACUCAGCCCCUGGUUUACAAGCAAGGUAGUUCUCUAAAGGUCUGUUUAUUCCCUGUGUUCUAAGAAACUGAUUUCCAGAUAUCUGUUUUCUUUAGAAGACACAUGGCUUCUACCCUAUAAACAAAAUGGAGCAGUUUAAGAUUUUUCUGCAAUACUUCAUGAUGCUUUAAUUUAUUCUCAACCUUUGUCUGGCCAGUUUGAUCAGUUCUCUCACCGUCCUUUGGACAGAGAGUUGUUUCUCACAUGCUUCAAUAUGGUUUUAUUGUUGGCUGUUAAUUGGGUAUGGGUGAUGGAAAAGAAAUCCUGUUGUCUUAACUUGUACCAUUAGGAAAAUACAUUUGGAAUGCAAAAUCUUGUAGCUUGUUGGAUCUUGCAUUGGCUCUUCUUCUGGACCGAGAAAGAUCGUGGCGAGGGCUUGAUGAGUACAUGGCGGAUUGCACUAGAUACUGCAUCUCGGUAACUAAAAUUACUCGACCGCAAUUAGCUGAUGGAGUGGUCAUCAUUCUUGAUCAAUGUAAUUGUGAAUUGAUAUAUAUGGUGUAGUUCUUGCUCAUUCAAAGAUAUUUUCUGUAAGACCUGCUAGAGAUUGAUUUUUAGAAGAAACGCAAGUCAGCUGGAGGAGAAAUCAAGCCUUGUGUUCAUGGAUUCAUGACCAACAGAUACAGUAUGGUUCAUCAAGCAUGCAUGCGAAGAUGUUCUAUUUGCUCUUCAUGCGACAUGUUGAACCAACAUUAGAUUCAUGCUUCG